AAUUUGUGUCCCGCGCCGCCGGUUCAUCGUACGCGGUGUUAACUGGCGUGCCGCGGGACGUCCUGCCGGUGGGCCUAAGUCUGCAAGGACGUCGGCCCGACCCAAUCCCGCCGCGGUGCUCUUCAUUGAGUGUCGAGGUGGGCCGGCACGUUUACUUUGAACAAAUUAGAGUGCUUAAAGCAGGCUAAAACUUCGCCUGAAUACUGUGUGCAUGGAAUAAUGGAAUAGGACCUCGGUUCUAUUUUGUUGGUUUUCGGAACCCCGAGGUAAUGAUUAAUAGGAACGGAUGGGGGCAUUCGUAUUGCGACGUUAGAGGUGAAAUUCUUGGAUCGUCGCAAGACGGACAGAAGCGAAAGCAUU
rnacentral:rRNA from 1 species